GGCGCGAAUGGGCUGCAACCGGCUCGUGUUGCCACUGCCGUUACCGGCAGAGGAUGAUGAUACCACUGAGGAGGAGGAAGAGGUGUUGAUGGGGGACGCGUCAUUGCUGCGCCUGACCCGAGUUGAGUUCACAGAAGUUUAGCAAAAACAUCAUGUGGGAUCAGACAUCAGCACUGUCCCAGACAUGAAUCAAAAGGUAAGGACAGUCCACUGAAGAGAUAAAGUGACCACAUAACAUUUACCUGAAGAAGUGCCAUUCAAUUAUUUUACAGACAUUUUUAAAGGGCAAACACACUAUGCAAACACAGCCCCAUUUUAUUUGAUCUGUACAGUUGGUUAGUGUUUUAAAAAGGUUAGAACAGACAUAAAUUACAAGGAUGAUGUUGACCUCAGUUGAGAUAAUGUGUCAGGCUGAAAGACAAAUCAAAACAAAGAUAAUUAAUCAAAUCUAAGAAUUGAUGUGGUUUAUCAAUUAAACUAAACUACUACCAACUUCCAACAACAAGAAUAAGGUACAGAGGAUGUGAAGGGAAAAUGCUAAACUCUUGAAUGCACUGUAUAAAUAGCAGCAAGCACUAUGAUAAAACCCAUUCACUAACUGAGAUUCAAAUGAAAAAAAAAAACAGCUCAACAAUCGUGGCCUGUUCCAACAGAACAGUAAAUGCUAAAAUACAUGUCUGCCUCCCAAAAUGGGGUGUGAAGUUUAUGGCAGAACCUCAAAAUGUUAUGCAUUAAACCAAACGUCAACCGAGGUAUAUGACAUGCAUGCCAAAAAAAAAAAUC